CCCGCCUGGGCCACGCCUCUCACCGCCCUGCGCGCAGUGACCACGCCCCUCGAGCUGAGGUUACGCCUGUGACGUCACCGGUAGGGCGAAGGUCACGAAGCCACGCCCCAGGGAGGCCACGCCCCUCUCCCUCAGAUUGAAAAAGUGGCAGCAGCUGACAAGCCGGGAAGAGCAGGCUGGAGGCAAAAUGCAAAGGGAAGAGACCAAAUCGCUAAUGGCUUCGUGGUGAUGACUACAGAGACACCUGGGGGAACCCCAGCCCCAUUUCCAUCACCUCUGACGCUUGUGAGAAGAGACAAGCCAGAAGUUGCUUGGCUGCCUUCCCUUUUCCUGCCUGUUCCAGAACACAAAGGUGAAUAUAUCAGCUAAAGAGGAAGGGGAAGUGAAAGCAGCCUGGGAUUUGGUGAACAAAAGCACCACAAAGUCCUGAACAUUGCUGUUCCUCGGGUUCUGCUGCUGCCCUCACCGACACGGCCCAAGUGCCCAGAUCCUGAGUUUCCUCAUGCCAGCUGGCCUGUAGACAGCUGCAUGCAGAAAACCCAAGAAUUCCAAGAAUUGUUCCAUCUGCCUCCAAGUGCUUGCGUAUCCAGCUCUAAAAUCCUCGUGCACCACCUGUGUCCUGGCUGUCUGUGAGUGUGAUGGCAGCUAAGUGCUGAGACAGAGAGAGGGAAGUGCAGUGGAAUGAUCUGCCUAAUAUGCUUUUCCCACAUUUUUCCUAAAAAGUGCAUGCCCAUUGAUCCCAAUAAACACAUCCCUCAACUU